rnacentral:rRNA from 1 species
UAAAGAUUUUAAGGGCGUACGGUGGAUGCCUUGGCGAUAUCAGCCGAAGAAGGACGCGGUAAGCUGCGAUAAGCUACGGAGAGGUGCAAGCAACCUGUGACCCGUAGAUUUCCGAAUGGGGGAACCCGGCAGUGGUUAUGCACUGUCACCCAUAGCUUAGACUAUGAGGAGGGCACCUGGGGAACUGAAACAUCUAAUUACCCAGAGGAAAAGUAAUCAAACGAGAUUUUCUUAGUAGCGGCGAGCGAACGGGAAAGAGGCCAAACCGGAGCGGGCAACCGCACCGGGGUUGAGGACAGUCAUCAAGUGUAAAUGAGGUAGAAGAAUCGAGUUGGAAAGCUCAGCCGAAGAAGGUGAAAGCCCUGUAAUCGAAACCUUGCAUACAUGGGACUGUAUCCAGAGUACCACGAGACACGUGAAACCUUGUGGGAAGCAGGGGGGACCACCCUCCAAGCCAAAAUACUGAUAUCGACCGAUAGCGCAUAGUACCGUGAGGGAAAGGUGAAAAGAACCCCUGGCGGGGAGUGAAAGAGAACCUGAAACCGUAUGUCUACAAACAGUCGAAGUCUGUAUAUAUAUCAGGACGACGGCGUGCCUAUUGAAGAAUGAACCGACGAGUUACUGUUGCUAGCGAGGUUAAGUGGAAAACAUGGAGCCGCAGCGAAAGCGAGUCUGAACAGGGCGUUCAGUUAGUAAUAGUAGACCCGAAACCGUAGUGAUCUAUCCAUGGCCAGGUUGAAGCACAGGUAAAAUUGUGUGGAGGACCGAACUCGUGAGCGUUGAAAAGCUUUGGGAUGAGUUGUGGAUAGGGGUGAAAUGCCAAUCGAACACGGAGAUAGCUGGUUCUCCCCGAAAUAGCUUUAGGGCUAGCCUCGAGGUUGAGAGUAUAGGCGGUAGAGCACUGAUCGGGCUAGGGGCCAUACCGGUUACCGAACCUAGUCAAACUACGAAUGGCUAUACUUAUACUCGGGAGUCAGACAGUGAAUGAUAAGGUCCAUUGUCAAGAGGGAAACAGCCCAGAACACCGACUAAGGUCCCCAAUGUUACACUAAGUGGCGAAGGAUGUGGAAUUUCCAAAACAACCAGGAUGUUGGCUUAGAAGCAGCCACCAUUUAAAGAGUGCGUAAUAGCUCACUGGUCGAGAGACUCUGCGCCGAAAAUGUCCGGGGCUAAAGUGUAAAACCGAAGUCGUGUCAUAUGCAGCAAUGUAUAUGGGUAGGGGAGCGUUCUCAUCGGGCUGAAGCAGUACCGUAAGGAGUUGUGGACUGAUGAGAAGUGAGAAUGUCGGUAUGAGUAGCGAAAAGAAUGGUGAGAAUCCAUUCCACCGAAAGCCUAAGGGUUCCUGAGCAACGAUCGUCGUCUCAGGGUAAGUCGGGACCUAAGCCGAGGCGGAAAAGCGUAGGCGAUGGACAACAGGUUGAAAUUCCUGUACCGGUGUGAAUCGUUUGAUCGAUGGAGUGACACAGUAAGGUAGGUCAGCACGCGAUUGGAAGUGCGUGUUUAAGCAUGUAGGUUGAGCUAUAGGCAAAUCCGUAGCUCUAAAAGCUGAGAUGUGAUGACGAGUUACUAGCGAUAGUAACGAAGUGAUUGAUCCUACACUGUCGAGAAAAGCUUCUAGGUAGAGACACAUCGCCCGUACCAAAACCGACACAGGUAGGCGGGGAGAGAAUCCUAAGGUGCGCGGGAAAACCCUCGUUAAGGAACUCGGCAAAAUGCCUCCGUAACUUCGGGAAAAGGAGGACUCAUGUAGUGUGAAGUGCAGCAACGCAUGGAGCAUGAAUGAGUGGCACAAGAGAGGCGCAAGCGACUGUUUACCACAAACACAGGUGCCUGCUAAAGCGAAAGCUGAUGUAUAGGUGCUGACACCUGCCCGGUGCUGGAAGGUUAAGAGGAGGGGUUAGACUUCGGUCGAAGCUCUGAAUUGAAGCCCCAGUAAACGGCGGCCGUAACUAUAACGGUCCUAAGGUAGCGAAAUUCCUUGUCGGGUAAGUUCCGACCCGCACGAAAGG